AUAAUGGAGAGUUUGAUCCUGGCUCAGAACGAACGCUGGCGGCGGGUCUUAAACAUGCAAGUCGAACGGUGAAAAUGAGGCUUCGGCCGAAACACGAGUGGCGAACGGGUGAG
rnacentral:rRNA from 1 species